GCUGGACAUGGUGGCACAUGUUUGUAAUCCCAGAGUCUCAGGAGGCUGAGGCAGGAGGAUCACGAGUUCAAAGCCAGCCUCAGCAAUUUAUCCAGGCACUAAGCAACUCAGUGAGACCUGGUCUCUA
rnacentral:sRNA from 1 species